AUGGCUCUGGGAAAAUCCCAGUGUCCAUGGCAACCUCGGGGUGAGGAGGGGAAAUUAGUAGUGGUGUUUCUUCCUCCAGAGCUUGAAAGCACGGUUGAGAAUGAUGGCUUAGUUGAUGGCAGAGUGGAAAGGACUCACAGGCCAGCCAGAAGCCCUGGAGCAAGGCAGACGUUCCCAGAAGGACUUGGCAGAAAGAGUCAGACUGAGAAGCUGGCUGGCUGGUAAUGCCAGGAAGGGGAAGAGAUAUGUGCUUUAGGAGCAAGGAGAAUGGGUCAAAUUGCAGAAAGCUACCUGGGGAAACACACACAUCAGUCUUAUCUGUGCGACAGCACUGAAAGACCGUGGCUGGUGGAGAGAGUAAUAGUUGUUAUGAUG
rnacentral:lncRNA from 1 species